rnacentral:rRNA from 1 species
GCCCCAGAGUUUUAUUUAUGGCUCCAGACGAACGCUGGCGACGUGCCUAUACAUGCAAGUCGAGCGGACAGACGGGAGCUUGCUGCGUGAGGUCAGCGGCGGACGGGUGAGUAACACGUGGGUAACUUGCUGUAAGACUGGGAUAACUCCGGGAAACCGGGGCUAAUACCGGAUGCUUGAUUGAACCGCAUGGUUCAAUCAUAAAAGGUGGCUUUCAGCUACCACUUACAGAUGGACCCGCGGCGCAUUAGCUAGUUGGUGAGGUAACGGCUCACCAAGGCGACGAUGCGUAGCCGACCUGAGAGGGUGAUCGGCCACACUGGGAAUGAGACACGGCCCAGACUCCUACGGGAGGCAGCAGUAGGGAAUCUUCCGCAAUGGACGAAAGUCUGACGGAGCAACGCCGCGUGAGUGAUGAAGGUUUUCGGAUCGUAAAACUCUGUUGUUAGGGAAGAACAAGUACCGUUCGAAUAGGGCGGUACCUUGACGGUACCUAACCAGAAAGCCACGGCUAACUACGUGCCAGCAGCCGCGGUAAUACGUAGGUGGCCAGCGUUGUCCGGAAUUAUUGGGCGUAAAGCGCGCGCAGGCGGUUUCUUAAGUCUGAUGUGAAAGCCCCCGGCUCAACCGGGGAGGGUCAUUGGAAACUGGGGAACUUGAGUGCAGAAGAGGAGAGUGGAAUUCCACGUGUAGCGGUGAAAUGCGUAGAGAUGUGGAGGAACACCAGUGGCGAAGGCGACUCUCUGGUCUGUAACUGACGCUGAGGCGCGAAAGCGUGGGGAGCGAACAGGAUUAGAUACCCUGGUAGUCCACGCCGUAAACGAUGAGUGCUAAGUGUUAGAGGGUUUCCGCCCUUUAGUGCCUUGCCCAG